rnacentral:rRNA from 1 species
UACGUAGGGGGCAAGCGUUGUCCGGAAUCAUUGGGCGUAAAGCGCGUGUAGGCGGUUUCGUAAAUCUGCUGUGAAAGUCGGAGGCUCAACCUUCGAAAGCCGGUGGAUACUGUGAGACUUGAGUACGGAAGAGGAGAGUGGAAUUCCUGGUGUAGCGGUGAAAUGCGCAGAUAUCAGGAGGAACACCAACGGCGAAGGCAGCUCUCUGGGACGUUACUGACGCUGAGACGCGAAAGCGUGGGGAGCAAACAGG